rnacentral:lncRNA from 1 species
UACAUGUACAUUAUAUUUGCAUUUUCAUAUUUCAGCAAUGAUGAUCACCUGUACCGAGACAGCAGAAGAAAGUUACUUAUUUAUAACUCAUCAUGACCAUUUAAUACCGAAAAUCUGAUUAAAAUUUGUUUGGAAAGCCACCAAAUAUUUCAAUGAAAAGAAGAAAAAAGACAGCAAUUCUAUAUCAUGUAUAUCAUGUACUAAGCAGAAGCAUUUGCUGUUUCAAGACCCAGUUGAAUUGGAGUUUAGUGUUUUGAUGCAGUGAGACAGAGGAAUAUUUAAGUGAACAGUUUAGCUUCUUUUUCAUCAUCGUGAUCAUUAAAGUUGAUGUUUACCAUCGGAGAGAGCUUUUUCCUCAGUUGAAAUGAAUUCUAAAUACAGGCAGUUUGGAGACUUUUGUAUAUUUCUUACAAUUGGAGUUCUAAAAAGGAUUACAUUUAAAAAAAAAUGUGUUGCAACAGUUUCAUGGAUUUAAUUUGUGGUCUCUUUCGUGAAAUAUUUGAAAAAUCUGCAAUAUCUAACCAAGUAGUUUAUUAGAGAUCUACAGAUGAACAUAUGACAUGUAUGACAUUCAGAUGAAUUUGAAAGAAGGAAAUAUAUUUAUUUAUAAGACUUUAAUAUGAGUGUUUAGUUAUUUUUUGGCAAUUACAGGCAUGACAGGGAGUAAUUAUAAGAUAAAGUUAUUUGAUUUAAACAUAAAUCCUACCUACAGAUAUACAUGCGAUAUACAUAUAUAUGCAUGUAGGCAUACAAUUCACUGACACACCACUAAUUUGAGUUACAUGUACAUGUAAUGAUAAAAGUAAGAAUAUGACAUAUAAAAAAAAAAUUGAUUCACUCAGAUUGCCAAUGAAACAACUCUCCAUCAGGGAAAAAAAUAGUUGUUUAUAUAUUGGCCACCUGCAGAGACAUGAGAGAACAAGAAAAUCAUAUUUUAUCAUGAUUUAUAAUUUUUCUAUUUCAUUUCAUAUAAACACUGAAUACAGGCCUACAUUUGUAGGUGUACAAAAAGUUCAAAAGCAUAAAACAGUGUUGUAAUCAUGCAGUUGUUGUUCAUCUGAAAGUCGUAUGAUAUUGAUGUUGGGCUUCAAUAAUGAGCAAAACAUCUGUAUAACAGCCACAUAAACAUGAUAAUGGUUAAUUUUGAACAAAAUAAUUAUGGGUAUUUCCAUUUUGUACAUGCAUGUAUAUAUGUAUUGUACAUGAAGAUGUGUAUCUCAUGUACAUACAUGUAGCUUGUUUAUACUUGGAAAUCAGAAAAUGCAAUGUUUUCAUUUCUUGUUCUUGUCUAAACUAAAAUUGGUUAUUUAUAUAAUGACAUAAAUUAAUGACAUGAUAAUUGUAAAUGUUUGGCAUAAAAAAAUAUAAAUUUAUUUAAAUGAUGGUAUUACAAUGCAUUAUUUGUAUCCAGGAUUUUCUGUAACUGCAAUAAUAAAUCUCACAUUUAUCAUGUUUAUUG